UCAAGACACCUGGGGCCAAUUAAGAUCCUUCUAGAAAGCAGUGGAGACAACUAGGUUGAUUGGGACACCUGAAGCCAAUCAAGGGCUGGCUGGAACUAGUUAAAAGCCUCCCAGUUAGUCAGUUAGAGGUGCAUGGCAGAAGCUAUAGGAGGAAGCUGUGCUGCUGGAGAAACUGGGCAGGACAAACCCCAUCAGGAACAAGGAAGGAGGCCCUGAGAAACACAACUUGCAAUGACCAGAGGUCGCAUUUGAUGCGAUAAAGCACUAGGAAGGCUAUAACUCACCACAGGCGACGUUUAGCAGUACCACCUCCAGAGCACGCCUGCCCAUGGUGGAGGCAGGAUCGAGACUAGCUGCAGUUGUGGGGUAAGGUGCUGCUCUUCCUCUUUGCAGAGCUGAAAGAUUUAUAAAAACAACCCACCAUGUAGUCUCUGGGCACAUGAUCAAAAGUUUCAAACAACGUAGCGUCGCAUCACUUGCUGGCAAAUACCAACCCAGGAAAACUCACCACAAAACAAAGCUCAGUUUGUUCUUUACAACUGGCUCCCUCACCCCACCUGCACCUCAGAUAAUCCUCUGAGGAGAGAGAUGAGCGCUACCUCGACUCUGAGGCUCUGUGGGACCAAAAUGGAGACAAGUGCUAGACCGGAGGGACCUUCACUGGGAAGUCUGUCUCCACACCUGCAACGUCCAUGUGUAGGGUCUGAUGGCAGAGGCUCCUCAGCUGAGCUCACCUCUCAGGUUGGAGCACAGGGUGAAAGAGUCUCAGAGGUAGACAGGGCCCCAAAGUGUACAGGUUUUAUCACUCUAUUAACACUGUGAAUCACACCCAUGUGUAGAUAUGGAGCCAGGGCCGUUUUUGGAGAACAAGGGUAAAAGUGCUCCAUACCCGGCUAUCACUGAACUCGUCCUUCUUACCCAGAGCAGUGCAAAGCCUUCUGGGAAGUGGGAAAUAGGGAGGGGAAGCCACAAAACAGCCCCCUAAACCUCACACCUGCAAGGAAAAGGACAAGGAGGAAAAUGGCAGAACAGAGGGAGAAAUAGAAGAGAAAAAUAGAGAGUGUGAGGGAUAUGGUGUUGCCUGUGAUAAUUUAUGACUCUCAUAUGUUGGUCUGGGUUUUGCUGUAUGUAUAUUUUGAGUGAAUUCAAUAGUAGGAUUGCCAAGGAGUGCACCAGGAAGGGGAAGGGAAUCCAGAUAUAUGCUGCACAGCAAACACUUGAGGGAGGAUGCCAGAGCCGGUUGUUUUGCUGCUCUCGUGCAAGCCCCUGCUGGGAUUGCCAGACAGGCUUCCUCAGGAAAGAGUCAGUAUCUCUGAAGGGUGGAAAUCAAAAGAUUCAGGAAGGUGUAAAAGACACAAACUCCCUUAAGGCCAGAGACAUGGGUUUUUGAGACUAAGAACCCUCAGCCUGUUGUGUGGGUUCUGGGGGAAGUUAGACCUACUGGGGUCCCCAUCAGGAGGGGAGUUAGACUCUUGGUAAGACAGACAUGUGUUGUGUUAAAAUCCUUUUGCUCUUAUGUUUUACUUUGUUC